AAUGCUUUAAUGUUCUUUGAUUUUUUAAGUGGUGAAAGUUGCAUUUUAUUGGAAUUUUAGUCAGUUAUUAGACUAGAACCGUGUCUUUUUUAAAGCAUAGUUAUUCUGGCUUUGUCAUAUGAUGAAUUUGGAUCAAUGUGUUUGUAUGUAAAAGGAUCUGUUAGGAUGCAUGUCUUGAGUAAUAGGUGUUAGGUCAUGAUUCUCUAAUCUUUAAUGCUAUUUAAAUUUAAGCGGUGAACUUAUACUCAUUGGUGCUAGAAAAAAGGAUGGCAUACAACAAGUGAGAUGAUACAAUCAGAAUUACUCCAAGUGAGACAAUUCAUGCGCAAAUAUGCUCCUAAUGAACCUAUGCGUCAAAAUAUCAAUGGCACCUCAACUGAACAGGUUCCUGACGCCAACAGUAGCCAUGAACGAGUACCACAAACAUCAAGGAUACCUAGUGUUGCUG